UUCACUUGGAACGGCAUCUUAUAGGGCAACAACUGGAACGUAUUCUCGGUACAAAGAAGCAAAAUCGAUAUUCUCUAUGAAAAUGCCUUUGACAGAAAACUUUCGCGAAUUUCAAUUUUGUUGCCAUAAUGGAAAAUCCCUUUGAAAUUCAUGCCAAGUUAAUGCUUAAGCGCUGGAAUAUUGUCUGCGAAAUUAUCUUCAACAAAGUAGUAGCAAAGGAAGUUGAAAAUUUAUACUAAAUACUACAAGUACUCCAAGGAUUCUCCCAACAGUUUGAAGCGCUAAAAGCCCAUAUAUGGAUGUGCAAUAAUUAAUUAUUUGCCUUAAAUACAAUUUCACACAUGUAACUGUGUGGCGUGUCUCUGUGUCUAUGCGUGUGUGGGUGUACAGGGUCUUGUGCUGCUGCGGCUGCGGCUGCUGCUGCAUCCCUCCAUGGAGGGAAUUUCACUUAUCGCUUUUGACUAGUGCGCUCGAUAAAUGCCUGUCCUGUCUUGUCUUGUCUUGUCUUGGAGUACGAGUACACGAGCACGA